rnacentral:rRNA from 1 species
UAAGGAAUAUUGGUCAAUGGACGCAAGUCUGAACCAGCCAUGCCGCGUGAAGGAUGAAGGUCCUCUGGAUUGUAAACUUCUUUUAUCUGGGACGAAAACGGGAUUUUUAUCUCAAUUGACGGUACCAGAGGAAUAAGCACCGGCUAACUCCGUGCCAGCAGCCGCGGUAAUACGGAGGGUGCGAGCGUUAUCCGGAUUUACUGGGUUUAAAGGGUGUGUAGGUGGGCUUAUAAGUCAGUGGUGAAAUCUCCGAGCUUAACUUGGAAACUGCCGUUGAUACUAUAGGUCUUGAAUUAUCUGGAGGUAAGCGGAAUAUGUCAUGUAGCGGUGAAAUGCUUAGAUAUGACAUAGAACACCAAUUGCGAAGGCAGCUUACUACAUAUAAAUUGACGCUGAGGCACGAAAGCGUGGGGAUCAAACA